AUUUGAAAGCUGGCGUCUUCGACGUCCGCGUUGUAAUUUGUAGAGGAUGCUUCGGCGAAGACUCCUGCCUAAGUCCCCUGGAACGGGGCGUCAUAGAGGGUGAGAAUCCCGUAUGUGGCGGGCAGUCUAAGCCAUGUGAAGCUCCUUCGACGAGUCGAGUUGUUUGGGAAUGCAGCUCUAAAUGGGAGGUAAAUUUCUUCUAAAGCUAAAUAUUGGCCAGAGACCGAUAGCGCACAAGUAGAGUGAUCGAAAGAUGAAAAGCACUUUGGAAAGAGAGUUAAAAAGUACGUGAAAUUGUUGAAAGGGAAGCGCUUGCAACCAGACUCGCUCGUAGUUGCUCAGCCGGCCUCUUGGCCGGUGUACUCUUCUACGAUCGGGCCAGCAUCAGUUCGGGCGGCAGGAUAAAGGUGUCGGGAAUGUAGCACCCUUCGGGGUGUGUUAUAGCCCGGCGCGGAAUGCUGCCAGCC
rnacentral:rRNA from 1 species